rnacentral:rRNA from 1 species
AUUGAACGCUGGCGGCAUGCUUUACACAUGCAAGUCGAACGGCAGCGCGGGGGCAACCCUGGCGGCGAGUGGCGAACGGGUGAGUAAUGCAUCGGAACGUAUCCUGUAAUGGGGGAUAACGUAGCGAAAGUUACGCUAAUACCGCAUACGCUCGGGAGAGGAAAGUGGGGGAUCGCAAGACCUCACGUUACAGGAGCGGCCGAUGUCCGAUUAGCUAGUUGGUGGGGUAAAGGCCUACCAAGGCGACGAUCAGUAGCUGGUCUGAGAGGAUGAUCAGCCACAUUGGGACUGAGAUACGGCCCAGACUCCUACGGGAGGCAGCAGUGAGGAAUUUUGCGCAAUGGGCGAAAGCCUGACGCAGCAACGCCGCGUGACUGAUUAAGCUCUGAGGAGUGUAAAAGUCUGUCGUAGAGGAAGAAACUAUCCGAUAAGAAUAUUGUCGGAUACUACGGUACUCUAAUGAGAAAGCUCCGGCUAACUCCGUCG